CCUACGGGUGGCUGCAGUGAGGAAUAUUGGUCAAUGGGCGCGAGCCUGAACCAGCCAAGUAGCGUGAAGGAUGACUGCCCUAUGAGUUGUAAACUUCUUUUAUAAGGGGAUAAACUGAGGCACGCGUGCCUUUUUGUAUGUACUGUACGAAUAAGGAUCGGCUAACUCCGUGCCAGCAGCCGCGGUAAUACGGAGGAUCCAAGCGUUAUCCGGAUUUAUUGGGUUUAAAGGGUGCGUCGGCGGAUUGAUAAGUUAGAGGUGAAAUGUCCGGGCUUAACUUGGGAAUUGCCUCUAAUACUGUUCAUCUAGAGAGUAGAUGCGGUAGGCGGAAUGUAUGGUGUAGCGGUGAAAUGCUUAGAGAUCAUACAGAACACCGAUUGCGAAGGCAGCUUACCAAUCUAUAUCUGACGUUGAGGCACGAAAGCGUGGGGAGCAAACAGGAUUAGAUACCCCAGUAGUC
rnacentral:rRNA from 1 species